rnacentral:misc_RNA from 1 species
CCCCAAUGGGUUCUCCGGAUUUCUGGAGACUUGUAGGGGUUGUGGGAUUUUUGAUGUGUCGUCUCCGGACGGGCGGUGCAGGGUAGUCGAGUUAGACUUGGUGGAAUUCCGUCGAUAGGAGUUCCGUCGAGUCUGGUCGGCUGUGUGUUGGACGGUGCAGGGUAGGCUGCUUGGACAUGGUCGGUUCGAGGAUCGAUUCGAGGGCCGGCCUGUCGAUGAUGUGUGAUGUAUGCGGUCUAGGGUAGGCUGGUUUGUCUCGGUUCAAUUUGAUGUCGGCUCCCGUGCAGGCCAGAGUGAAGGGGGGUCCAGGGUAGGUACAGGGUAGGCAGCUUAGAUUUGGUCGAUCUGGAGGUCGAUUCUCCGGCUGGCGGAUCUGACACUGUCGAAAUGAGAUGCGAGCGGUGUAGGGUAGGCUAGUUUCGUCCUCGCCAGGUUGCGAUUUGGACGAGAUAUGUGGUCUAGGGUAGGCUCUAGGGUAAGUAGAAUUCUAGUUUCGUCGCCGACAGUUUUCUUUGGGUGUAUGGUAGGUACAGGGUAGGCAAAUCUCUCUCGGGCCAGUACUUGUCUGGUGGUCGUGAGUCGAUUUUUUUGUUUUGCCAUACUAUUGAAUUUUGCGGAAAUUCAAAAGUGGCUCGGGAGUCCCGCCUGGCGAGCGUCCGACUCGAACAUCGUCGGUGUACAUAUGAGAGGGAGUAAUCCGGCCCGGCCGGGGCCCAUCGCGAGCUGCCGGGUAGGUAAAAGUAAAAAAGUUGUUAAGAGGCGCGGUGUCGGCGUGCUUGUAUUUGCGGGAGGGAAUUAUCUGGGGGUGCUGGGUAGCCGGGAAGACUUGGACGGAUCUGGCCCGGGAAUGGGUCUGGCCCGGGAAUGGGUCUGGGCCUGGAUUCUGGUGUGGUGUAGGGUAGGCGUAGAUAGAUGAGUGGUCUAGGGUAGGUACAGGGUAGCCAGAAGUCUGGUAUAUAGUAUGGGGGUGUAGGGUAGGUCUGGACACCGUUUUCCACUUCGCCCUUCCCUUUACUCGAGGGAGGACGGUCUUGGCUGGGACGGAGGUGUAGGGUAGGCUUAAUUUACGAUUACAUGAUCUGUGUCACUCUAGGGUAGGUGAAAAUCCCAUAUAUAUCUGAUCACAUUUGGUGAAGAGGUGGUUUGGUGGGUGAGAUGGACAAAAGUGCAAUGUAGAAUUAUAUGUGAUUUUGCAAAAGUGGGUGUGAAAUUGGGAAAUCGGUUUUCCCGCACAGAUGAGAGCACGUUUGAGGUGCCAUGAGAUGCACCUCUCCGAGACGACCUCAACUGUACCACCGAUGUGUUGGUCGGGCUCCUGUGCGGCCGUCCAGGGCGGGAUAAGUAGAGAAUGUGGUGGUGUAGGGUAGGUGGCCAGGUCCAGGGUAGGCAACUCUCACCCUCGAAGUGGUCUACCCGGUAGCCAACUUCAAUCGCCUCUCACGGCCGCCACGGACCUCGCAUGACGACGGGACUACCACCAUCGGAUUCGCCUUGGUCGAAAUAGCUGGUAUAUACACUUUUGAAAAAAUGCGUGCAAAAUGGUUUUGUGGUUUGGUGGCCGUGAGUCGAUUUUUUUGUUUUCCCAUACAAAUGAAUUUUGCGGAAAAUAAAAAGUGGCCCACGAGGCAGUCCUGGCGUGCGGCCCACUAAAACGGUCUCGGAGGGUAUAUGAGAAGGGAGCAAAUCCGGCCGAGCCUGAAAGGGUGAGGACAAACCGGGCGAGCAACCUCUCAGUAUCAGAUCUUGCAGACUUCCACUGCGUGUCCCUCUGUACAGCUUUGCAGGCUCCGGCCUCGGCAGCGGGGGGUUCAUAGUGGUCGUCGACCUCCACGAAACUGCACGCUCCGGCGUGACAGCGUACUGGGGAUGCCUGUGUAGAUGCAGUCCGGGCUUGCCUGGACCGCUAGCAGAUGGGCUCUGUGGAUGACUGGCCGCUGGCUAGACCUGAAACCUGAGCAACGGGAGGUAACCUCUCGCCGCGGACACCGGAAUGGUAGAAGCGGCGUGCUGCGUCCUCCUCUUGGGGCCCCUAAGCCACACCU